rnacentral:lncRNA from 1 species
UUUGGCUGGAUGAUACCCGUUGCUCAGACCUAGCUUACGACCCGCGAGUCUAAGUGAUGGUUACAAAAUCCAAUUUACGUCCAGAGUGGCUAAAUUACGAUCACAAGUUUAGUUUACGAUUUAUGAGUCCAAAGUGCGACUUAAAAAUCUAAAUCGGACUCUCAUUUACGAAUCUAGCCCCGAGAUUCUAAAUUUACGACUACAAUCAACGAUACCCUCAUUUUCACUCAAGGAUCAUUUUGUCGCUUUGGCCUUAAUGAUCCUAUCCCAUCUUGUCGAUAUGGCCUUGAUGAGGAUCGAGAGUCACUCUGUCGCUAUAAUCGGAGCUUAGCUAAAACAUCAGGGUUCAAAUCUAGAAUUGUAGUCCUAAAUUGUAGUCUCUAUGCUAGUACAAAUUACAAAAUAAAAUAGUUAGAUUUUAUCUUUGUAAUUCUCAUUUCUAAAAGUCAGUAAAAGAUGACACUCUUUCGAAAUCACCUACCUAUGACUCUAACUAAUACCCUACCUUAGAAAUCUAUUUUGUCGCUUUGGCCUUAAUAAAUCCAGGUCCAUUUUGUCGCUUUGGCUUUAAUGGACCAAGAAUUAUUUUGUCG